GCUCACCCUUUCUGCUUAAGCUAGUAUAGAAAGUACAAUUAUUUCUUUCACCUUCAAGUCCCAACAGUCAACCAAUUCUGAACAUUUGAGUUGAACAUUCUUAAACCACGGCCCUUUACAAUACUUUCUGGACUAAUCCAGAUGUGAAAACUGGACCUUAGACCACAUGAGUGUUGGAAGUCCUGCGGAAUCGGUGGUAGAGUUUGGAAGAGGAGACACUUCCUUCCCUCUAUAUGCCCACUGCCACCCCCUCAUACCAUGGGCCUGAGGUUAAGAACAGCUACACAUUCACCAGGUCACAUAGCCAGUGUGACAGCAUCUGGAUUUGAACUUGGCAUCUGUAGAUGUUAAGGUGCCAUGCUCACCACCUCCAGGGAGAUCUUGUCACAGACUUCCAGGUCCUUUCCUGCACUCUCUCGAGCCCCAUGGGUCCCCGUCCCACACCAGCACCCGCAGCCCUGCAGCAGUGCGAGACGAUGUGCCUGGGGAAUGGGAGGCUGGCAGAGAACAUACCAGGUCCUUCCCUUUUACUGGAUGUUGUCCGUUUGGACUCCAACCAACUCCUGUUUAGAAUAUUUCAGAAGAAAACUAUGAAAAACAACUGGCAAACAGGAUGA
rnacentral:lncRNA from 1 species